GAUCCUGGCUCAGGAUGAACGCUAGCUACAGGCUUAACACAUGCAAGUCGAGGGGCAGCAUGGUUUUAGCUUGCUAAGGCCGAUGGCGACCGGCGCACGGGUGAGUAACACGUAUCCAACCUGCCGUCUACUCUUGGACAGCCUUCUGAAAGGAAGAUUAAUACAAGAUGGCAUCAUUAGUUCACAUGUUCACUAUGAAUUAAAGGUAUUACCGGUAGACGAGUGGGGAUGG
rnacentral:rRNA from 1 species